rnacentral:rRNA from 1 species
GUGCCAGCAGCCGCGGUAAGACGUAGGAGGCGAGCGUUAUCCGGAUUCACUGGGCGUAAAGCGCAUGUAGGCGGCUCGGCAAGUCGUGUGUGUAAGCCCCUGGCUCAACUGGGGGAGGUCAUGCGAGACUGGCGGGCUUGAGGACAGCAGAGGAGCGUGGAACUCCCGGUGUAGCGGUGGAAUGCGUAGAGAUCGGGAAGAACACCAGUGGCGAAGGCGGCGCUCUGGGCUGUGUCUGACGCUGAGAUGCGAAAGUGUGGGGAGCAAACGGGAUUAGAUACCCCUGUAGUCC